CUGGUUAAACUGCUCAUAGAGCCCCCCCCCCCACUCAAUAGCUCUGGGGCCACAGAUGACAUUCAUUCUGGGGGCCCCAGACAGCAAGCAGAACUCUGGCUGGUGGGUGGAGGCUCCAGCAGGCAGGCAGAGUUUCAGGUCAAGAACAGAGGAAGAAUGACAAUGGUCAGGACAGCUCAGGAGCAGAAUCGUUGGUCUCAGGAGGUGCCACAGAAGGGACCUGACUCAUCUCUGCACUGCACACGAGUGGCUGUUGGGCUUUCGUUUCUACAUCAAUAAAACCAGAACAGUAAUUGCUAGCUUCCAGGAUAUGGAGUAAAAGAAACGACGGCUUUGAAAACACCUUUACCAGAUGUACAAAGAGCCUCCAGGAGCGAGGGAAGGAGGUCUGAUCGGUUUUAGACUCUCUCUCCCACUUGUCUCCCCAUCCUCAUAAGCUGACGGAUGCAGGGAGAAAUAAUAAAUAUGUUCUAUGUCUAAAAUGGAACUGGCACAUU